GUGUCCUACGGGGCGCAGCAGCGGGGAAUAUUGCACAAUGGGGGAAACCCUGAUGCAGCGACGCCGCGUGAGUGAGGAAGUAUUUCGGUAUGUAAAGCUCUAUCAGCAGGGAAGAAAAUGACGGUACCUGACUAAGAAGCCCCGGCUAACUACGUGCCAGCAGCCGCGGUAAUACGUAGGGGGCAAGCGUUAUCCGGAUUUAUUGGGUGUAAAGGGUGCGUAGACGGGAAGGCAAGUUGGUUGUGAAAUCCCUCGGCUUAACUGAGGAACUGCAACCAAAACUAUCUUUCUUGAGUGCUGGCGAG
rnacentral:rRNA from 1 species